GUGCACCCACAGAGCUCCCCCUUAGCCCUCUCGAUCAGCUCCCCUAUCACAGCCCCAUUGGGCAGCGGGGUGUGGUUGGCUUCUUCUGGGAAGGACUGGUUUGGGACUUCACGGAUCCCCGCCCCCUCCGCUUUCAGAGCUGCCCUGCCCCAGCUCCUCCCUCGACUGUGCUCUCCAAAAGCGUGUGUUCCUUUAUUACCUCUGCCUCGAGCAAGGCUUGGAUUUGCACUGCUGACCUCGACGUGACAGGUUUAAAGCCCACAGCAUCUCAACAAGUGCCCUUUCAACCCAUGAGAGACCUGACCUGGUCUUCCACUGGCUCCCUUCGAAAAGAGUGAUCCAUCCCAGGUUUACGAGGGGAAAAACCUUCACUGGAACCGACGAGAAAGCAGACACCUUCUACCAUUUUCUCUGCAGACUUCGCAAGGGCUCAACACCUUUUGAAAGAGAAUACGGCUCCAAGCCCUUCACUCCGCUGGCUGGAGCAGCGUUUAAAAACAAAAGGCGUUUCAUCUCUGGCAAAUCGUAGCAGGACGUCAUAAACAGCUGGAAACUCUCUGAGGUGAAGACAAGUUGGAUGUGAUGUUUGGAUUCUUCUCCCCUCCCCCACGGUCACGGCGCUCCAUUUCCGACGGGGUUAUUGCUUCCAGCUUUAUGAAAUAUCUUGGCUCUCACCUCGGAUAAUUACUGAUCACCAUCAGCGCCUCACCUGAGGCACCUUAGCCCUCGGGUGAACCUAACCUUCUUUUUUCUUUUUCAAGAAUGAACGAGGGAAAACGGAAUGGGUGAGAGUAUGUCUUUAUUUCGAUUUUCAUUUGUAAUUCCCUGUGGCUUCCUAACGCUCAGGUCAUUAAUCAGUGUCAAAUCACCAGCCAGAGCGCAGACAAUAUUUUUGCCACAUGGGUUCCAGCGCGGAUUAAAUGGCAGUAAUUGUGUUACUAGGUAUGGAGCUCUCUCGUGGGUACUGUGGUAAUUAUUAAGGGGAUAGACGAGACCUCAGAGGCCACCCAAGGUUUUGAGCUAAGGGUGUACCUCACGACCUUCUGAAGUUUGAUAGAACUCCCCCAGUUGCUCUGACAAGUCCUCCUGGGGGAGGACCACCAAGAGCCCGGUAUCCCUCAUUUCGCUUCUACGUGUCCUUUUUUUUUUUUUUUUUUUGUCUUUUUGCCAUUUCUAGGGCCACUCCCGGGACAUAUGGAAGUUCCCAGGCUAGGGGUUUAAUCGGAGCUGCAGCCACCGGCCUACACCACAGCCACAACAACACGGGAUCCGAGCUCCAUCUGUGACCUCCACCACAGCUCACGGCAACACCAAAUCCUUAACCCACUGAGCAAGGCCAGGAGUCGAACCCGAAACCUCAUGGUUCCUAGUCGGAUUCGUUAACCACUGUGCCACAACGGGAACUCCGGCUUCUACGUGUCCUUUUAUGCUUCCAUGCCUUCUUUCCUAUUUCCUCUGCUGAGACAUCCUUAUUAUCCUCUCCUUACUUCUCUGCCUGGUAAAACCCUGUUAACCUGUAAGGCCCGGUCCAAAUGCUGCCUCUGUUAAGAAGCUUUCUGUGACGGAAAUAAUCCUUUUAUCCUUGAUCCCAUAUCACUUCUUAAACACCUUUGUGAACCUUCUGUCUUCUCGCUCCCCUACGGUAUAUGGAGCCACCUACAGGUGUCCACCUUUCCCACUCAACCAAGAGCUCCAGGAGGAUGAUGGUUGUACCUUAUUCAUUUUCAUAUAUUCAGGGCUGCCAUUCAUUGAACGGAUAAGCUGAUACCCAAAAGAAAUAAACGUUGGCCCAUUU
rnacentral:lncRNA from 1 species